AGAGUCUCCAUCCAGCUGGAUCACUGUCACAGGGAAACCUACAACCACAUCUCCAUCUACUCCCGCACCUGUAUCUACAUCCACCUCUAUCCCUACAUCAGCUACUCGCCCUGGUUCUUCUGUUCUUCUUCAUGUGUUAAUCUCUGUUGGAUCAGUCUGUGUUUUCGUGCUACUGGUGUUACUGGUUCUGCUGGUGAGACAAUGUAAUCACAGAAAACCUGAAGCAGAUCAAGGCAAAGCUGCACGAGAUGAUGUCACAUACAGUGACGUCAAAAUAUCACAUCGCAGACAGCAACCUGUGAAACACAGCAGAGACACUGAUCCAGCUGCAGUUUACUCAGCAGUGAGAACUGAAGACGUCACUUAUGGAAAAAUCAUCACAGACAAGAACAAACGAUCACAGACG